CACUGGCCCAGUUUGUUCGUUUAGAGCACAGGUUUCAAACUUAAUUCCUGGAUGGCCGAGUGUCUGCAGGUUUUUUCACUCCCCCUUGUACUUGAUAGAUCAAUUUAGGUAAUUGAUUAGUUAGGAACUCCUCUCACCUCCCCUUAUCUAGGUCUUGAUUGGACAUGAAUUGAAAGGAGAUAACAAACACCAGCACAAACUCAGCCCUCCAGGAAUAGAGUUUUAAAUCCCUGGUUUAGAGUGUAAUAUUGUUUUAAAUCCCUGGUUUGGAGUGUAAUAGAGUUUAAAAUCCCUGGUUUAGAGUGUAAUAUUGUUUAAAAUCCCUGGUUUAGAGUGUAAUAUUGUUUAAAAUCCCUGGUUUAGAGUGUAAUAUUGUUUAAAAUCCCUGGUUUAGAGUGUAAUAUUGUUUAAAAUCCCAGGUUUAGAGUGUAGUAGAGUUUUAAAUCCCUGGUUUAGAGUAAUAGAGUUUUAAAUCCCUGGUUUAGAAAAAUAUUGUUUAAAAUCCCUGGUUUAGAGUAAUAGAGUUUUAAAUCCCUGGUUUAGAGUAAUAGAGUUUUAAAUCCCUGGUUUAGUGUAAUAUUGUUUAAAAUCCCUGGGUUAGAGUGUAAUAUUGUUUAAAAUCCCUGGUUUAGAGUGUAAUAUUGUUUAAAAUCCCUGGGUUAGAGUGUAAUAUUGUUUAAAAUCCCUGGUUUAGAGUGUAAUAUUGUUUAAAAUCCCUGGUUUAGAGUGUAAUAGAGUUUUAAAUCUCUGGUUUAGAGUGUAGUAGAGUUUUAAAUGCCAGGUUUAGAGUAAUAGAGUUUUAAAUCUCUGGUUUAGAGUGUAGAGUUUUAAAUCUCUGGUUUAGAGUAAUAGAGUUUUAAAUCCCAGGUUUAGAGUGUAGUAGAGUUUUAAAUCCCUGGUUUAAAGUAAUAGAGUUUUAAAUCCCAGGUUUAGAGUGUAAUGGAGUUUUAAAUCUCUGGUUUAGAGUAAUAGAGUUUUAAAUCCCAGGUUUAGAGUAAUAGAGUUUUAAAUCUCUGGUUUAGAGUAAUAGAGUUUUAAAUCCCAGGUUUAGAGUGUAGUAGAGUUUUAAAUCCCAGGUUUAGAGUGUAGUAGAGUUUUAAAUCCCAGGUUUAGAGUGUAGUAGAGUUUUAAAUCCCAGGUUUAGAGUGUAGUAGAGUUUUAAAUCCCAGGUUUAGAGUGUAGUAGAGUUUUAAAUCCCAGGUUUAGAGUAAUAGAGUUUUAAAUCCCAGGUUUAGAGUGUAGUAGAGUUUUAAAUCCCAGGUUUAGAGUAAUAGAGUUUUAAAUCCCAGGUUUAGAGUGUAGUAGAGUUUUAAAUCCCAGGUUUAGAGUGUAGUAGAGUUUUAAAUCCCAGGUUUAGAGUGUAGUAGAGUUUUAAAUCCCAGGUUUAGAGUGUAAUAGAGUUUUAAAUCCCUGGUUUAGAGUGUAAUAGAGUUUUAAAUCCCUGGUUUAGAGUGUAGUAGAGUUUUAAAUCCCAGGUUUAGAGUGUAGUAGAGUUUUAAAUCCCAGGUUUAGAGUGUAGUAGAGUUUUAAAUCCCAGGUUUAGAGUGUAGUAGAGUUUUAAAUCCCAGGUUUAGAGUGUAGUAGAGUUUUAAAUCCCAGGUUUAGAGUGUAGUAGAGUUUUAAAUCCCAGGUUUAGAGUGUAGUAGAGUUUUAAAUCCCAGGUUUAGAGUGUAAUGGAGUUUUAAAUCCCAGGUUUAGAGUGUAGUAGAGUUUUAAAUCCCAGGUUUAGAGUGUAGUAGAGUUUUAAAUCCCAGGUUUAGAGUGUAGUAGAGUUUUAAAUCCCAGGUUUAGAGUGUAGUAGAGUUUUAAAUCCCAGGUUUAGAGUGUAGUAGAGUUUUAAAUCCCAGGUUUAGAGUGUAGUAGAGUUUUAAAUCCCAGGUUUAGAGUGUAGUAGAGUUUUAAAUCCCAGGUUUAGAGUGUAGUAGAGUUUUAAAUCCCAGGUUUAGAGUGUAGUAGAGUUUUAAAUCCCAGGUUUAGAGUGUAGUAGAGUUUUAAAUCCCAGGUUUAGAGUGUAAUGGAGUUUUAAAUCCCAGGUUUAGAGUGUAGUAGAGUUUUAAAUCCCAGGUUUAGAGUGUAGUAGAGUUUUAAAUCCCAGGUUUAGAGUGUAGUAGAGUUUUAAAUCCCAGGUUUAGAGU